GGGUGACCAUUUUUUAAUUGGGGAACCCAAAAACCUACCCGGGCUGAAUUGAGGUGCCCAUCCCGGAAAAUUGGUUUCCGCAAGGGCAUCUGUGGAGGUGUGCAUGGCUGUGUUGGGGUGGUUUGUGAGAUUUUGGGUUAAAUUCCGCAACGAGCGCAACCCUUGUUCGCUGUGCCAUCAGGUAAUGCUGGGCAUUUUGCGAAGACUGCCCGGUGAUAAACCGGAGGAAGGUGGGGAUGACGUCAAGUCAGCAUGGCCUUUAUGUCUGGGGCUACACACGUGCUACAAUGGCCGGUACAAACCGUCGCGAUCCCGCGAGGGGGAGUUAAUCGGAGAAAGCCGGUCUCAGUUCGGAUUGCAGGCUGCAACUCGCCUGCAUGAAGUUGGAAUCGCUAGUAAUCGUGGAUCAGAACGCCACGUGAAUACUUCCCGGGCCGUCACCACC
rnacentral:rRNA from 1 species